ensembl:lncRNA
CCCCCCAAAAAAAUCAUUUAAAUAGUAUUUUAUGGCUGCAUUGGUAUAGAGAUGAAUAUACUACUAUUAUAGAGUAAGGCAUUUUUUAAUUUGAAAUUUCAUUUUUCUUUCUGUUUGUUAAAAGAAAUUAAAAUAUAUUCAUGACUUGCCCCCCACCCACAACCGCAGCCCCCCACUGGUGCUAUAAGGCCCUCAGCACUGUGCCAAAGGGUGAGGCAGCCCUACUUGGACCCCAGCUCAGGGUCUGCUUUUGGGAUGGGCUGAACGGAGACAUGGAGUGUGCUCCUUCAUGGGAGGGGCCAUCGCAAAGACUACCAGGAAGAGAGCCUUACGAGCAAGGGUAGGGGAGUGAUAGCUCCCCAAAACUCAGCACCCCACCCGCCCUCCUCUCCCCACCCCGCUCUGCCCAUCAGCCCUCCACCCCGACUCCCUCUGCUCACAUCCAGGCACAGAGAGGCCCGACUUCCCCUGCAGGGCCCUGUCCUCGUGCGUCUGUUGCUGCUAUAGCAGACCGCCGCAAACUGGAGCGUUUAUCAAGAGAGGAGCUUUGUUUGUCUCAAGCUAGGGGAAGCUGAGCAGUCCAAGAGCAUGGCCCUGGACUCCGGUAUGGGCCUGCCCGCUGCGUCAGAGCAUGGCUGAAAGGAGAGCCAACCUGUGUGAGGGACGAGGCCCCAGGACCCCGACUCGCUUUGAUGCUUUGAUAAUAACCGGCUCUGGAUAACUGACCCACUCCCAAGGUCACGAUGUGGAUCCACUCGGGACUCCAGGGCCCGGCUUGGCAGCCCAGAACGUCGCCUUGAGGAUGAAAUCGCCAACAGCAAGCCCUAUUUACUUGCGGGAAUAGUCACCGACUCUAAGGACCACACCCACUCGCUCAGACGGAAAGAGCUGGCAAAGUUAAGUGCAGCUAUUAUGUGGGCAAACCUUGGAGUUGCUUCCUCCUCCUGCGCUGUCGUGCCAUGUGCUCACCGCUCCCUCUCCACCCAGGCACGUAUGAAGGUACUGCCCCCGGAACCCUCCCCUCCAGGGUCGGGCUGGAGAGGGCCUGGUGACCGAGCGGGGAGGCAGAGCAGUGUCAUGGGAAGUUCCGAGACUGAGGGAGGAGACCCAACCAUCUGUCCCUGGACAGGUCUGAUGGAGGAAAGUUACACAUAUGCACACAAACACACACACACACACACACACACACACACGGGGUUGGGGGGAGAGAGAUGUGCUCAGGACACAAAAGCAUCAGCAAAUGCAUCAGUCCCCUUGGCCCCUGGGAUAAAUGGUUGACCCAAAGGGCAGCUAUUUCACUGUCUUGAAGAUUUUUUGAAAAUUAUGAAGAAAAGCAAGCAAACAAACAAACAAAAAAACCCACAAAAGCUGUGUCCUGGCUCUUGCAGCAACUUGAGUAGUUUUGAGUAUUUUUUCAUCCCUUCCUUUGGGGGAACAAAUUAAAGUUGUGUGUUUAUUUCUGCAAUGUGAAAAACACAAAGAGAAAGCCUCUCCAAAGGAUGAUGCCACUUCCUGUUCCAGAUAUGUGCCAAAAACCACAUGAAAAGGAAAAUACCCUCCAUGCACAGUCUUGGGCAAUAGGCUUGCCUUGUAAUGUUACUUCUAAUUCACUUCUACUUAAACUCACUCAAGGUACGACCCCUUGUCCCACACCACACAAAGUCACUCAAAGACAGGUGAUAAAGGAAUGACUACACUGACACAGCCUCUCAUAGUCAGAGAGAACAUGACUAUUUAUUAGUUAUUUGAAAGGCCCAGAGACACAGAGAAAAAUGAGAGCCAGAGAAAGCAAAAUCUUCCCAUCCAAUGUUCCUUUCUUGGGAACUUAGAUUGAAUUCAUGCCAUGCCGAGUUCCUGGCUUCUGGUACCCAUUGGCAAUCCUUGGCAUGCCUUGGCUUGCAGCUGCCUCACUCCAGUCUUGGAUUUCCCAUUGCAUUCUUCUCUGUGUGAUUUCUCCUCUUUAUUUUAUUUGAAAGGCAAGGGGUGAGGGGAAAAAGAGAAAGAUCUCUCAUUUGCUGGCUGACUCCCCUGGGCCAGGACAAAAUCGGAGACAGGGAGCUCAAUCCAGAUCUACCACUUGGGUAGCAGGGAUCCAAGUAUUCAAGCCAUCAUCUACUGUCUCCUAGGGUGCACAUUAGCAAGAAGCUGGAAUCCGGGUGGAGUCAGGACUCAAGCCCAGGCACUCUGAAAUGGGAGGUGGGGGUCCCAAGCAGUGUUGUUUUUAAAGAUUCAUUUGAAAGGCAGAGUUACAGAGGCAAGAGAGCGAGCAAGAUUGAUCCUCUGUCUACUGGUUCACUCCCGGAACAGCUCAUGGGCUGGAGCCUGGAAUUCCAUCAGGUGUUCACAUAGGUGGCAGAGGGCCGUCCUUUACUUCUUUCCCGAUUGCGUUAGCUGGUUCAGAAUUGGAGCAGCUGGGACUCGAACUGGUUCUCCUAUGGGAUGCCAGCAUCCAGGCUGCAGCUUAACCCACUGUACCCCAAUGCCAGCCACCCCAAACAGUGUUUUAAACACUGCACCAAAUGCCUGGUCCCCUCUUAUAAAGACAGCUGUUGUUGGAUUCAGGGCUCACCUUGAUCUAGAAUAAUCUCAUCUCAAGAUCCAUAACUUAAUCACAUCUACAAAGACUUUUUCUCCAAAUAAAAUCACUCACAAGUUUCA